rnacentral:rRNA from 1 species
UGCGUAAAGAUCAGCUGGAACCCGGCUGGAAGACGCCCCCCUGGACCCUCCUGGCCCUCAGGUGCGAUACCGUCGAGGGCUUCCCGGGUUCGAUACCCUGUGCCCCCUCGCCGGGCCCCAUGUCGACUUGGAGGUAGAGCCCUUGAGGCGUGGCUUCCGGAGCUAACGCGUUAAGUCGACCGCCUGGGGAGUACGGCCGCAAGGUUAAAACUCAAAUGAAUUGACGGGGGCCCGCACAAGCGGUGGAGCAUGUGGUUUAAUUCGAUGCAACGCGAAGAAACCUUACCUACUCUUGACAUCCAGAGAACUUUCCAGAGAUGCUUUGGUGCCUUCGGGAACUCUGAGACAGGUGCUGCAUGGCUGUCGUCAGCUCGUGUUGUGAAAUGUUGGGUUAAAGUCCCGCAACGAGCGCAACCCUUAUCCUUUGUUGCCAGCGGUUCGGCCGGGAACUCAAAUGAGACUGCCAAGUGAUAGAACUGGAGGGAAGUGGGAUGACGUCGAGGUCAUCAUGGCCCUUACGAAGUAGAGGCUACACACGUGCUACAAAUGGCAUAUACAAAGAGAAAUCGACCUCGCAAGAUCAAGCUGUACCUCAUAAGUAUGUCGUAGUCCGGAUAGAAAUCUGCAACUCAACUCCAUGCAGACGGGAUCUCUGGUAAUCGUCGACAGAUGCUAACGAUGAAUACGUUCCCAGGACCUUGUACCCACCGUCCGUGCCAUCGAUGGUAUUGGACUAGCCAGAGAGGAGGUAGC